AUUGAACGCUGGCGGAAUGCUUUACACAUGCAAGUCGAACGGCAGCACGGACUUCGGUCUGGUGGCGAGUGGCGAACGGGUGAGUAACAUAUCGGAACGUAUCCAAUAAUGGGGGAUAACGAGUCGAAAGAUUCGCUAAUACCGCAUACGCCCUACGGGGGAAAGCUGGGGACCUUCGGGCCUGGCGUUAAUGGAGCGGCCGAUAUCUGAUUAGCUAGUUGGUGAGGUAAAGGCUCACCAAGGCGACGAUCAGUAGCUGGUCUGAGAGGACGACCAGCCACACUGGAGCUGAGACACGGUCCAGACUCCUACGGGAGGCAGCAGUGGGGAAUUUUGGACAAUGGGCGCAAGCCUGGUCCAGCCAUUCCGCGUGAGUGAAGAAGGCCUUCGGGUUGUAAAGCUCUUUCGCAAGGGAAGAAAACUUAGCCACUAACAUUGGUUGAGGUUGACGGUACCUUGAUAAGAAGCACCGGCUAACUACGUGCCAGCCGCCGCCGUAA
rnacentral:rRNA from 1 species